AGUGAACGCUGGCGGUAGGCCUAACACAUGCAAGUCGAACGGCAGCACCGUAAGAGCUUGCUCUUACGGUUGGCGAGUGGCGGACGGGUGAGGAAAAAAUCGGAAUCUACUCUUUCGUGGGGGAUAACGUAGGGAAACUUACGCUAAUACCGCAUACGACCUACUGGUGAAAGCAGGGGAUCUUCGGACCUUGUGCGAUUGAAUGAGCCGAUGUCGGAUUAGCUAGUUGGCGGGGUAAAGGCCCACCAAGGCGACGAUCCGUAGCUGGUCUGAGAGGAUGAUCAGCCACACUGGAACUGAGACACGGUCCAGACUCCUACGGGAGGCAGCAGUGGGGAAUAUUGGACAAUGGGCGCAAGCCUGAUCCAGCCAUACCGCGUGGGUGAAGAAGGCCUUCGGGUUGUAAAGCCCUUUUGUUGGGAAAGAAAAGCAGCAGGUUAAUACCCCGCUGUUCUGACGGUACCCAAAGAAUAAGCACCGGCUAACUUCGUG
rnacentral:rRNA from 1 species